rnacentral:lncRNA from 1 species
UUUCCAAAAUAACCACAUUUAAAAGAGGAUGCGCCAGAUGAACCGGCACAUCCUUAAGGAUCAAGAGGAGGCACCAAUGGCAUGGGCGCCUGCAUUGGUAGCCUCAUGAGGAGGCGCCAAUGCCCUUUGCGCCUGCAUUGGGCCUCAUGAGGAAGCGUCAAUGCCUAUGGCGCAUGCAUGGUGCCUCAAGAAGAGGCGCCAAUGCCUCUGGCGCUUGCAUGUGUUCACAUGUUAGGCGCCUAGCCUC